CUCUAGGAGGUGUCUUGCGGUGAGGUUUGGCUGAAAAGAUGAAAGAUCCAAUAAGAAUUUAGUCAUCCUGACCUCAUACUGCUGUCUCCAUGAAGAUAUGGACAAUGACUCUUCACUGUAUCUGCAUAGACAGCCUGGUACAUGGAUGAAUUCAGUGAAUGAACAAGUUCUUGGGUCUGAUGACUGAAGAGGGAACCAAGGAGACCUUUGACGGCCCUCAGGGGCAACGAGCAACAGCAGCGAAGGUACCUGAGGAGCCCCAUGAGUCACUUCUCGCUGCCUCUGGAGGUGGUGGGUAAGGACACUCUAUCCUUCAUCUACACUUCAUUUGACCAUUUCUUUCUGGAAACUGCUGAAGUUGGACGGGGUCUUCUUUAGAAACCAGACUGGGUCCAGGGUUGAACUAAUUGUUCAAUUGCUAAUUGUUCAACUCUUUGCAACCCCAUGGACUGCAGCAUAGCAGGCUUCCCUGUCCUUCACUAUCUCCCUGAGUUUGCUCAAACUCAUGUCCAUUGAGUCAGUGAUACCAUCCAACCAUUUCAUCCUCUGUUGCCCCCUUUUCCUCCUGCCCUUGAUCCUUCCCAGCAACAAGGUCUUUUCCAAUGAGUCGGCUCUUUGCAUCAGAGUUGGACUGGUUCCGACUAAAACUGAGUCCAGUGUGAGGCCUCAGUUUCUGGUGACCAGGAUGAGUCCCGCUGGGACAUCCCAGUCUCUUUAGAGCCUGCAGAUGGCAUUCUCGGGAAAAUGGCAGAGGCCUAAAAAGGGUAAGAAUCCUCACCAAAGUCAGCCUGCCUAGAUCUCUGUGGAGUCUGGUCAAGGGAGGGAAGUAAAAUUUCAUGUUGUCCCUUCCUUUCCAAAUCCAGAUUGGCAGGAAAAAACAGUUAUUAAUCCCUCAUUUCCCAGGGGUAUCUAUUGCCUUCUCGUUCAUCUUAAUUUGUGUCCUGAGAAAUUGCCUUGACAUUUGUUAGGUGGGACCCCCAAAAUUUGAUUGCACUGAACUAUGGGUUGCAUUCCAUUUGUGGCUAGGGUCCUACUGACCGCUGUCAGCUCUCAAGGGAAUUUCCUGUCUUUCUUUUGGUUAUCUUUGGGAGUAACUCUGGGUCUUGGGAGGGUAAUUUCUUCUGCAUCCUCUUUGGGGAUGUCUCUUCAUCCAGGGGUUGUUCAAUACUGCCAGGAAAUUUUGCUAUUUGUUCUGAUUGAAACCUAACAAGAUAUUCAAAAGCUUUUAAGUCUCCCUAUGGUCAAAAGUUGGCCAAAUUGGAAACUGAUAUUUGGAGCUUGGUAGGAACUUUUCUUUAGGCUAAGCUAAAAUAAUCCUGUGUAUUCAGAAGAAAAGAAAACAUCCUGAAGUCAUUGUGGAAGGAUUUACUCACACAUUUCAAAGGCACACAGGUCUAAAGCUACAAGGUAGGAAUCUCUUGAUUUCCAUUUUAGUUGAAGAUCUCCCUGAUAUAAACAAGCAAAUUGAGGAUGAUGUAGUUGGGUGGGUGGGUAAACCUCUUGAAGUCAUAACUCAAUUCUUUGAGGAAUUAAAAGCAACCAUACUUUCCUUACAAACUGAGUCUUUACUAAAACAGAAAUUCAGCUCUAGAAACAAUUUGAAGCCACCUAUCUUUUUUACCUUGGAGAAGGAAAUGGCAACCCACUCCAUA